rnacentral:rRNA from 1 species
GAUGAACGCUGGCGGCGUGCCUAGUACAUGCAAGUCGAGCGAACAGACGAGGAGCUUGCUCCUCUGACGUUAGCGGCGGACGGGUGAGUAACACGUGGAUAACCUACCUAUAAGACUGGGAUAACUUCGGGAAACCGGAGCUAAUACCGGAUAAUAUAUUGAACCGCAUGGUUCAAUAGUGAAAGACGGUUUUGCUGUCACUUAUAGAUGGAUCCGCGCCGCAUUAGCUAGUUGGUAAGGUAACGGCUUACCAAGGCAACGAUGCGUAGCCGACCUGAGAGGGUGAUCGGCCACACUGGAACUGAGACACGGUCCAGACUCCUACGGGAGGCAGCAGUAGGGAAUCUUCCGCAAUGGGCGAAAGCCUGACGGAGCAACGCCGCGUGAGUGAUGAAGGUCUUCGGAUCGUAAAACUCUGUUAUUAGGGAAGAACAAAUGUGUAAGUAACUAUGCACGUCUUGACGGUACCUAAUCAGAAAGCCACGGCUAACUACGCG